GAGUACCUUAUCCUGGUUUAGAUCCAGUAGGAGUUGUGGAGUUACUGGAUACUGGAGGAAGACUGUACACUCCAAAUAAUGAAGCAUGUUCAAAAGAAAUUUACUCAUUGAUGACUUCAUGUUGGUCUGAGUCUCCUGAUGAUAGGCCAGUGUUCAGUGAUUUAGUAUCAUCAAUCAAUGCACUCAUUGAGCCAUUGGCUGGCUAUCUGGACUUCACUGACAUUAAUUCUUGUGUGGAAAAUGAUAUUAAAGCUUAAAAAACUUGUUUUAUAUUAUGUUAAUUGUGAUAGUUUUUAUACAGUAAAACACCUUGCAAGCAAUUUUAA
rnacentral:lncRNA from 1 species